rnacentral:rRNA from 1 species
UGGGGAAUUUUGCACAAUGGGGGAAACCCUGAUGCAGCGACGCCGCGUGAUUUAGAAGGCCUUCGGGUUGUAAAAAUCUUUUCUAUGGGAAGAAAAUGACAGUACCAUAGGAAUAAGGACCGGCUAACUACGUGCCAGCAGCCGCGGUAAUACGUAGGUCCCGAGCGUUGUCCGGAUUUAUUGGGCAUAAAGCGAGCGCAGGCGGUUAGAUAAGUCUGAAGUUAAAGGCAGUGGCUCAACCAUUGUAGGCUUUGGAAACUGUUUAACUUGAGUGCAGAAGGGGAGAGUGGAAUUCCAUGUGUAGCGGUGAAAUGCGUAGAUAUAUGGAGGAACACCGGUGGCGAAAGCGGCUCUCUGGUCUGUAACUGACGCUGAGGCUCGAAAGCGUGGGUAGCAAACAGG